CUGGAGGGAAGCUGGGGAGGCUUUGGUGGCUUGGGAGACCAAUAAACUUUAACUGGAAUUGGGCAAAUCACAGAGUUGGACUGUCAGUUUGAGGCCCUGUUGGAUGGAAAGUGAGGCUUCCUUACUGUCAGAGAUUACUGCGAGACACCUUUGCUGAAUCUCUCAAACCGUCUCAAAAUGACGGAAAUUGUAGAGGAAUAUGAAGAAUAUGAAGAAUAUGAGGAGGAGGAGGAGGAGGAGGAGGUUGUGGAAAGG